CUCGGCGCUGAAGGACCAACUGCUUGUUACAUAAUCUUCACCACCAUCCCACCUAACGUAUUUACCGAAACCUUGCACAUUAUUAGGGGGAAUAGGUAUAUCAAUAGUCAGGAUUAACGAGUUAUGAACUUCUGAAGUAAAUUAGUUGCCUAUAUUCUUAAUAGGCAAUUCUUAAUAAUUUGAGCAACUUUUUGACGAUUACUGAAGUCACUUUCAGCAAAGAAAUCUGAAGGCCUACUUUUCUAGUUGACUUUCCAGUACUUCGUACGUCACCAGGCUUUCUCAUUGGUCGACAACCCCACCGGGCCUUCACAUUGGUCGAGCUCAAAUUCCCCUUGUAGCUCGAGCGAGCUCAUUAGCUUAAAAGUUUGCGGGGCAGGAAACGUUUUCCUCAGACAGCAAGCAGCGACGUUUUCGGUGGAUGGUGCACUGCUCCUCCCCCACGUCGUUGGAGGCCGUGCAGCGGUAGAGCCCCGCCAGGCUCAGCGAAUAGUUUCGGAUCAACAGCUGUCCGGUCACACCGUCUGAAGAUAAGGUUUGCCACCAUACAGCUCUCUGUCUGUUGACAUGACCUAGAGAUUGGAGGUUUGGAGUACAUGAUCUCAAACUGAAACCUGGCCCGUACACCUGAGAAAAGGGCAGUCUUCACAAGAGGUCAUCCUCAGAUGAGCCCUCCAUCGUUGCUUCCAGUCAUCCCGAUUCUCCAUACAUCUGGCCAGUUCAUUGGUACUUUGCGCUCCUGCAUCCUUCUUGGUUGGCUAUAAUAAAGUAUAAUAGAUCUUCAGUGUUUUUCAGAUCAAUUGCUCUUGUGUCUUCGGCAUCUGAGAGUUAUACUGUCUAAGAGAAGACGAGAAUCAAGUCCUUGAAGUAGGUCGGCAAGCUGGCUUUAAAGAACACAGUUGUUUUUCGGAGGGCCGUCAUCCAGUAUCCACUGUCAAUAACAAAAUGGGAAGUUAUAGAACCUAAACUUGCACCAGCCUUUCUGCUCCGUUGCACACCUUUUGAAAUCUUAUUAGCUGAAAGGAGCUCUGGGCCCUGCUUCAAAUUCAAGGAACAUCCGACAAUGCCUUUGUUGAUGUGCAGUGUGUAGUUUAAAUAAGGUCUGCACACCAGGUCUAAAUCAAAAAUAUCUUUUAAGUUGGCCAAUAAUACACUUGAUGACACAUAAAGACUACACUUUAUGCUAGUCUCAGUACUUUCAGUUUGAAGGCAGAUGUUGAUGCUCUUUAAUCACAACACCAGGCUGCUUUGGGUUGGAUUGCAAACAAAAUAUAUUCAUCUUGAAUGAAAGAAUACAACCGGUUUUCUAUUCUAUCACUAUUCUGCAUCCGUCAAAUUUUCUUUUAGAAACUAGGUUUUGCAGCACUGAAAGUUAAUUCUCAGCCUCACUGGUAAGUCACUUUGGAAGAAAGUGUCAAUUAAUGACAAGAGGCAUCUACUCUCUGUCCCCCCAUUGGAAAGCCAGCAGUGCUUCCAUGUGUUCAGUAUGUUCAUAUUUUGUCUGGAUUGAGGUGAUGAAAGAAAAUGGACUGCAGGAGUUAGUGUGUGCAAACACUGUGCAGUAUCCCGAAACACUACCCAAAUUGCCGUGAAUGUCAUGAAUAGAAUUUAUUAGAUCAUCAUCCAACAUCAAAGAAAAAAAAAUCUUCAACCACGUGGAGUUGCUGUCCUGCUAGACGGACAACGAGGGGUAGACCAGGCACCAUGGCCACGUAUUCAUCAUGUGCAUCAAAGCUUCUACCCGUGUGACAUAUUAUUUCAGGGUUGUAUAAUAGUGCAACUUAUCAGGCUUUCAUUUUUGUCACCUGCUGUUCUCAGGUUUCUUCUCACCUUGUUUCGGAGUGUUAUUUUGUGACCUUACGAAUAAAUACUUGCCUUCCUGCCUUCAGUAAGUCAUAAAGAACAAUGUGUUCAUAUUUUUAUAUACAGCUUGCAUACAAUGUGUGCUUGUGUAAAAUGUAUUUAUUAUGUAUCCACUAAACAUUGGAUGUUGGAUAGAUGUGCAGAUCAUGUCUAUCUGUUCCGUCGGUCCAUGACCAAUUCUGGACAUCUAUUUGACUUCCAAACUAGGUCCACUAUUUGGUUGUCAAACCAUGACCCAACUUGGACGUCAUGUUGACAUUCAACAUUUCACCUUUGAACUGGGUACAUUUUUUUGGACGUCCGGUGUGUCGUCUUUUCUGUGUCAUUAUUGGACGUCAAAUUUCGGUCCACUGAAGGGGUUGUUUUGCAACGCCAGGCAACGUCUUUUUUCCGACUUCUACCAACGUCUAAUGUGGACGU